GCCCUCCUGUGGCGCAGUGGGUCAGUGUGUCUGGCUGUUAACCAGAAGGUUGGUGGUUUGACUUCACCCCCAAAGGUG